GUUAACUUGAACUGUGAGAUGUGAAUUCACUCUUCCCUUAUAUGGUCUCAGUUCCUGUGGGCCUCUCACUGUGUGAUUCUCAUGCUUAAAUAUAUGUGCUUUAUAAAUUCAACAUGGCCCCUAAAUGCAAGCCAAUUGGCUUAGUUCUCAACUAAAGAAAGAAUGAUCUGGUAUAAUGUUGGUAUAAACUUGUGUUAGACUUACUAAAAAACGGUAUGUCUCUCCAAUGUAGCACCUUUCGAAGGAAUUUUUGAGGGGUAUUUUGUUUGUUUGUUUUUCAUCAGGAAUCUAACGCCUCAUAUGAUAGGACUUCCCCAUACUUGUCUUGUUUCCCCAGCUGGUGUGAAAACUGUGUGAGCAGGACCUAUGUUCUAAACUUCUUUGCAUUCUUCCAAAGCGCCUAGCAAAGCAACUUGAAAAUAAUAGGAGCUAAACCAGUCAAUGUUAAAGAGUAUUCACUAGACACACAUUAAUUUUUGCAGCAAGUUUAAGGUUACUGAGACACCCCUAAGCUCCCCGCAAAGUGGAAGGAAAGAUUUGUGCUAUCAAUCACGUAUAUUCCAUGACUUGUUGGCAUCCUCUGGGCUAUUUCUAGAGAUGGAAUCUGUCUGUUCCCAUCCCUAGCUGGAUCAACUGAGCACCUGGCAGUUUCCUAUUGAUGCCUGUUCAGCUGUCACCUUCAGACUCCUGGUUGUGUUUGCUCAAUGUGUCUCCUAGAGCAGGCCUGACUAUUUUGGGUCUAAGCUACAGCUGUCAGCGUUUCAGGCGUACCUCACGUAUUUCUAGUAUUAGUUGGAAAUACUUGAAGCCUGAAAAAGUAACUAUAAUGUUCUGAGUAUGAAGGAAAUAUUUAGGCAAGUAUCAACUGGCAGCAUAUAAGGCUAACUAAGAAAAAUCAAGUCCCUGGUGAUAAAAUGAGAUGAGAACAACAUAGCUAAGCCAUCUUGAAUUACUUGCAUUUUAGUAGCGUGGGCCUCAGAAGAAAACGGGGAACCAAGGACUUCUUCAAAGAGAGAACUUCUGUCACUUUUCCACUGUCACCUCCAAAGGGAAUACGGCAUUUCUAUACCAGACAGCAUAAUCUGGGAAACACCACUUGGCUCUUCCAUUAACUCCUAUGUCCUUCCACAACUGUCUUUCUUCCUUGCAGCUCCUGUUGGUCUUCACCAACUAGUUCACUUUUCUUGCCUUCAGCUCUCCAAGAGCCAACAUAUCUCUUUGCUGUCAUUUUGAUCUUCCUGCCAAGAUAUGGAUUUACAAUGGCAAGCAACUGCUUUGCUCUGAAUUCAGCCAAAUAGGGGUACUUGGAGGUCACAGGUAACUGAUGAGGGUGGAGGUGGUUUCAAAAAGUACAAGAAUGUUCUUCAUGAUAAAAAGAACGAAUGCUUGAUAGUAACUAUACCAGUUGGUGUGAGGAUUUAAUAAUGUAUAUAACUUUUGAAUCAUUAUGUUGUAUACUUGAAACCAAUAUAAUAUUGUAUAUCAACUAUACUUCAAUUAAAAAUAUAUCAAAAAAGAACGCAUGCUUAUUGGAAAAAAUUCAAACUAAAUAUAAAAGAAAGGAAAAUAAAAUACCUUUAAUCAUAAGACCCAGAGAUAACUACUCUGAACAUUUUGCUGAGCAUUUUUCAAUAUUCAUUCAUUUCUUCAAAAGGUAUUUAUUAGUGCCUCUCAGGCACUAAACACUGUUUUAGACUCAAAGGGAACAUCAAUAGAUAAAGCAGAAAAA